AAAUGAAAACAGCUGUUAAUUUAAAAUUUGAGAAAAUGUAUAGAUGGAUAGUUUUAUCGUACAUUGUGUUGAGUGCCAGUAUGUUUGAAGCAUCCAAGGUAUCAGAAAACGUGUUGAAAGACAAUAAAGGCGAGAAAUAUGACGUCAUUGAUGUUCAAAUUGGGAACACAGAUAUUGCAAUAAUAAAGAAAGAUGGUGUUAUACUGGCAAACGAAAUUACCAGU